AUCCAUUUGAUGAGUCCCAAAUAGGACGAAAUGUGCGACCUAGAU
rnacentral:hammerhead_ribozyme from 1 species